rnacentral:rRNA from 1 species
UACGUAGGGACCAAGCGUUGUUCGGAUUUACUGGGCGUAAAGGGCGCGUAGGCGGCAAUUCAAGUCAUCUGUGAAAUCUCCGGGCUUAACUCGGAAUGGUCAGGUGAUACUGCUUUGCUAGAGUGCAGAAGGGGCAAUCGGAAUUCUUGGUGUAGCGGUGAAAAUGCGUAGAUAUCAAGAGGAACACCUGAGGUGAAGACGGGUUGCUGGGCUGACACGUGACGCUGAGGCGCGAAAGCGUGGGGAGCGAACAGG